GCAUCACCUGAGGUUGACCCCUGAGGUUGGCCCCUGAUUUCCACACGUAACUCCCAAGACGAGACCAGAUUACCAGUCCAUCCUGCCGGAGUGCAGGGCAAAAGUAGAGACCCCAAAGUGGAAGAUGAGUGUGAUGAGCGUCCAUGUGGGUUCCUCCAAAUCCCUCAGUGUGGAGCAACAGCCUCUACCGAAGAACCCCGGUCCAGGGAAGGCCAGGCACCACCACCACUGCUUACCCUGGAGAAUAAAGACGCUUCCUUCCGGCCAGCUGCUAAAGUCCCUGAGGUGCAUCCAAGAGUCAGAACUCCAUGCAGGGAGGCUUGAAGCUGGCCUUGAGACUUCCACAUGCCUUGGCUUCUCCCUUCCUUCUUUUCCUUCCCUAAGGUGUUGAUAUUAAGAGCAGUCCCUAAUAAACACUGCAAGGGACUCUGUGACCCAGGACACUCUCCAAGGCUGGCCGUCAGCUGGUGGCGGGAGACUCUGGUCACAAUAGUUUGAUGGUGUGCUACGGAGAUAGAGUUAAAAUAGGAAAACAAGGUCGGGACCAAGUCCGGCCCUAGCUGGACCGGGAUGCAUGGUGUUUCUCUACAAUACUGUCUUGCUUUAGGGCAUUUCUUUGACCAAGUGGGGAAGCCGAGGCUGCCAAGGACGGGUGACCUGGAGAGGAACCGAUGCCUGUGGCAGAAUGAAGGACCAUCGAGAGGACUACUGAACACGGCUUGAAAGCUUAUAAAAUAAAUUACAAUGGGGGCUGUUACUAAAGCAGAAGAAGGAAGUCACAGGGAGGCAGGGUGAGAGCCUCCACAAGGAUCUAUUGGGGUUAACUGACAGGGCAGGAGUAUGGGCCACAGCUGGCAGAUCCUGGCAGACGGUGGUCACCAGAGAUAAGGAGAUGUUGACCAUGUCUACCCUUUCUGCCAGGAUGGUAAAAACUGAGUAUCUGGGCAAGUCUUAGUCUGGGGUUGUUCCUCUGGCCUCAAAUGAAAAGCAACAUUUCAGUUUCUGAGGGUCCCACAUAGUCAAAGCAUUCACGUAGAGACAGUGUGUCAUGUACAGUACAGAUUGGUGUACACACCUGUCAUGGAAGCCCUUAGUAGGCCGAGGUAGGAGGAUCACCAGUUCCCAGGCCAACUUGGGCUACCUACUGAAUUCAAGCCUGCCUUGGGCUGCAGGGUGAGACCUUCUCUCAAAAGUAAUAAAGUAAAAAUAAUAAAAAUAUUAAUCCUAU